rnacentral:rRNA from 1 species
GUGGGGAAUAUUGGACAAUGGGGGGAACCCUGAUCCAGCCAUGCCGCGUGUGUGAAGAAGGCCUUUUGGUUGUAAAGCACUUUAAGUGGGGAGGAGGCUUACCUGGUUAAUACCUAGGCUAAGUGGACGUUACCCACAGAAUAAGCACCGGCUAACUCUGUGCCAGCAGCCGCGGUAAUACAGAGGGUGCGAGCGUUAAUCGGAUUUACUGGGCGUAAAGCGCGCGUAGGUGGUUAAUUAAGUCAAAUGUGAAAUCCCCGAGCUUAACUUGGGAAUUGCAUUCGAUACUGGUUAGCUAGAGUAUGGGAGAGGAUGGUAGAAUUCCAGGUGUAGCGGUGAAAUGCGUAGAGAUCUGGAGGAAUACCGAUGGCGAAGGCAGCCAUCUGGCCUAAUACUGACACUGAGGUGCGAAAGCAUGGGGAGCAAACAGGAUUAGAUACCCUUGUAGUCC